GAAAUGCGAUAAGUAAUGUGAAUUGCAGAAUUCAGUGAAUCAUCGAAUCUUUGAACGCACCUUGCGCUCCUUGGUAUUCCUUGGAGCAUGCCUGUUUGAGUAUCAUGAAAUCUUCAAAGUAAAUCUUUUGUUAACUCAAUUGGUUUCUACUUUGGUAUUGGAGGUCUUUGCAGCUUCACACCUGCUCCUCUUUGUUCAUUAGCUGGAUCUCAGUGUUAUGCUUGGUUCCACUCGGCGUGAUAAGUUAUCUAUCGCUGAGGACACUGUAAAAGGUGGCCAAGGUAAAUGCAGAUGAACCGCUUCUAAUAGUCCAUUGACUUGGACAAUACUUUUAUGAUCUGAUCUCAAAUCAGGUAGGACUACCCGCUGAACUUAACC
rnacentral:misc_RNA from 1 species